rnacentral:rRNA from 1 species
UACGGAGGGUGCAAGCGUUGUUCGGAAUCACUGGGCGUAAAGCGCAUGUAGGCGGAUCAGUGUGUCGGGUGUGAAAUCCCGGAGCUCAACUCCGGAACUGCGCCCGAAACUGCUGGUCUUGAGUUCGGGAGAGGAACGUGGAAUUCCGGGUGUAGAGGUGAAAUUCGUAGAUAUCCGGAGGAACCCCAGAGGCGAAGGCGACGUUCUGGACCGAUACUGACGCUGAGAUGCGAAAGCGUGGGGAGCAAACAGAAUUAGAUACUCUGGUAGUCCACGCUGUCAACGGUGAGUACUAGGUGCUGCGGGUGUCUGACCCCUGCGGUGCCGGCGCUAACGCAAUAAGUACUCCGCCUGGGGAAUACGGCCGCAAGGUUA